UUCCUCAUCGCUGGCUGGCAUCCUGUGGGUGCAGUGCCGAAGGAGUAUUCUAUCUGCGAACAUCUUUCAAAUUGAUUUAGAAAAAAACUAUUUUUGACCGCUCCUUUGCAGCAGAGAAUUCAAUUUCCUGGCAGAGGACUAGCUUCUCGUAUGUGGAAUAUCGAAUGGAUACAUGUGUGCUUUUUGAUCGGAAUUUUUCCUAAAGUGGCCGGAGAGCGCAUGACGACUUCAUUGGAAUGACCGUCACGCUUGGAUUAACCUACGAAAAUGGCGGACUGUUGCGGAGUCUGAAGCAAAUUUCUGUGUGACGAUGAGAGUGACAAUUGUUGGUUGAAACAGUUUUUCGAAAGAGAUUGUUACUGAAAGAUGAAUCAGUGAGCUUAGAAUCACGAGCGAUAUUACCGACGUUAUAAUUAAUGUGACUACUUUCAACCGAGUUGUAAUCAUCGAGCGAUAGUUGAGUGCAUUGGUGUGGUGGUACAACAUUUCCUAUUGUUUUUGUCAUCAAAGAAGAUUGAAGAAGAUUGAAAGUCCAAAUCAUUCGGUUGAAAAACACAACAGUCAUUGUGGAUCAGUAUUCAAAUGCUUCACACUACCGAGAAAUCAGCAUUUCAUGAAGAAGAAUGUAUCAUAAUCAUUUUAAAUGCUAUAUCAUCGUUAUGUAAAUCUAAACCAAAGAUCCGCUUU